rnacentral:lncRNA from 1 species
UGUUGGGAGAUUACUUUCAGUAAUGUACGUUUCACAAAUCGUGCUUAUGAGAAAUUGUGAUAAAUUCGCACCUUGUCUAGUGGUUCUUUCAUCUACUAUAGAUCAAACAAUUCAAUACUUACAUCAAAGAAUGAUUUAUCAUCGGUCCUCUUCGGAGGCACAGGAGCGGCCUGAGCAUUAUUUACAGACUGAACCUCAGCGAGAUCUAGAAAACAAAAUUAAUGGAAUCAGAGACAGUGAGAAUCUUCCAUGGCAUCAUAGUAACGGAGCUGGUGCUUGAUGGAAUCUAGAACAAACCACCGUUGCUUCCAGCCUUUGAGCAAAGCACCCCGUUUGUACAGGUACCCCUCGUGUGUUCGAUUCUCAGCAACAUGCGAAGAAAAGUCAUUGUAGUACUGCUGAUUUGAGCUUUGUAAAACAUUCACACCUGCAGCAGUAAAAAGGUUAUGAAUACUUCUGGUAACUGAUCCACUACAGUCAUAAAAAAUAUUUCUAACCACUCGAUUCAUUGUGCCCAUCUUACUGAGGACCCACACUAAUCUGACACAUUCUACAACAUACUUAAUGAGAUGAACUUAUUGUUGUAUCUCACUUGAAGGAAUGUAUCGCAAUAGACCACUAGACAAGGUACGAAUUGCAGCAUUCUAAUACAUGUUUCUAAACCAAAAUUUUACGUUAAACACGAUGCGCACAACGAAAAUUACCGAAAUCAACUCCUUACAAAGAUAUUUAAUGAUUCUUCAUGCAUAAAUUUAAACCACCUGGUCAUGAAAACUCAAUGCUCUCCGUGAUUCACAUCGUGCGCUAAACGUUUAUCAUGACAGUCUCUGUGAUAUAAAAAUGUAGCAACCUCAAUCUUGACACUUUGGCUCAGUUAUAGCGAGUUGCUUACAGUUUGAACAACACAUGGUGGGAAAUGAACAUCGCCCGAUAGAGAAGAUUGCCAAAACCGUUGUAGUGCGCGAUUUGACUAUUGUAGAGCUUUGAGUUUCUUGUGAGCAGGCAGUUCAAAUUCCUCGUAACCAAUGUGAAAAAAAACCGUUAAUAUCUUCGUUAGGAAAUGGUUUCAGUAAUUUUCGUUGCGCGAGUCGUGUUCUACGUGAAAUUCUGGUUAAGAAACAUGUAUCAGAAUCCUUUAACUCGUAUCUUGUCUACUGGUCCAUUGUGCUGUUACGGUAUUUCUUAUGGACAUUUUAUUUUUUUAUAAGAGAGCCGACGCAUGAAUUUGCCUAAAAUUUAUAGUUAUUAUUCUUAGUACCUGCAAGAAAAGACACUUAACUUUUAGACGACUUUGUACAAUCUUUUGCCAACGAAAAAAUAAAAUGUCCUUAGAAAUACUGAAAAAGCGCAGAUGAGAUACAUUCUAUCAUGGGAGAGACAAAAAUAUUCUUUGAAAAAGAACUAAUUUAUUUAGCAUAGAUAACUUCACAUUUUUUCAGAGUUUUUAAUUUUCCCCAAUAAAAAAAUCUAUAUGCACCAGAGACUAAGGCUUUGCAAAUAAACCAAUAUUGAGAGCAACCUACCCUACAGUCAAAGCAAAUCAUCUGACAAUUACGCAUUGUUGUGCCAAGGUCCGUCUUGUUUCUUAACGCAAUCCACAUAGAGGUGCACAAUCUCAUCUGAAUCAAGUUUCAUCAGAUUAGCACAUCACAAAUCAAAACAUCAUCACAGAUUGUGUGGAGAGAAACAUAAGAAAUUACAUAAAUACCAUCAAAUUCAAAAGCCCAAAAGGUGCUGAGAAAUUAAUUCCCAAACAACUUUCCUUUUUUUAAAGGUUUCAGUAAUUUCUAGAUAAAAAUCUUGACAGCUGAGAUUUAAUUAAAUUUAGAGUGACUUACUUGAAUUCAUAGAGGAACUAUCACAUUGAGCCCGAGAGCUGUUAGCAUUUGAGUGAUUAUCUGAGACAGCCUUGUAUUUUGUACAGUUCUUGGCAACACUCUCAAUACACUUCUCAUGACAGCUGUAUCCGCAAUCACAACAGCGCAUGCCCGUCUGAAAAUAACAAAAAAUGAGGAAAAAUUUAAAAAAGAUACUCAAGACAGAUCGACAUAAAUUUCUGUGACUAAGAAACUGAAAAAACAUAGACCACUCAAAAGUUACGAUACAUCUUACUUACAUUUAAAAUAAAAUCCUUAAAAAGUAAUAGUUCUAUACGAAUGCAAACUUUAUUAGUUUUUUUUAGCUUAUGUCACUUUGCUUGUUUUCUGGAAAGCUAAUGCUUGAUUCAAACUAAAUUCAACUUUUAAUGCGAAGAAUGGAAAAAAAACAAAUUACUGUUACCUUCACAGGGCCCCAGAGUACAUUGUUACAUUGAUCACAGUAGGUUGGAGUUGUGAAGUUGUAGCGUUCAAAGCGGUGAGGAGCAGAAUAUGGCUGAUGCGAAGAUGAUUCUUGAGUGUUGCUUGUGCCGACAAGUUUUCCUCGCAUUAGGAUCUCCAGCGUUGAGCGCUUGUGCAACAAACGACCAUGCCAGCGAACCAGCUGUGUGCUUAAAGAUGCAUGUCGCUGCAAUUAUCAACGAUUAUUAGACUCAAAACAGAGAUAUUGGAAAGUACACAUUCAAAAUAUUUAUGUUGGAGCAUGACAGGUUGGGUGAUUCAUGAUACCUUCAUUCUUCAUUUGUAACCAUAUUUUAUGGUUUUUUUUUUUUUUUUGUUUGUUUAGUGCUUGUUUUAAAUUUAUUGCAUUAAUGCAACCUGCAUUUGUUUAAUCUGUAAUUCAAAAUAGUAUUCCUUUUUGUCUAUGGCCGAAGCAUUUUAAUUCUUUAAUUGGUAUUCUACGAAUUUUCACCAAUUUUCUCUAUUUGAUAUUAUUUCUAUUUCUUUAUAGUGCUUAUAAUAUGGAUGCAUUGCUCUAUGUUGCUUGUUGCUAUUAUAUAUAUACUAUUCUCUUGUAAUCGGACUGGAGUAACAAUAGAACGAUUUUUACAAUGUGAAUAGAAAGUUGAAUGAGAAAAAAGAUCAACAAAAAAUGUUCUUGAAAGUUGACUGAUUUACCGUGAGGGAGUCUGUUGUCGGAAGUUCCAGUGUGUCCCACAGAAUUUUCCACUUCUGAGGUAAGUGUCCCAAUUCCGUCUCUAGUUUGUGGAUAUCUUCGAGGAUGUAGGUGAAUGCAUCUGGAGAGAUCGCUCCACUGAAUGAUACCUAAAAUAAAGCAGAAAUUUGAUUAAAUAAGAAAAAUACUCCUCAGUGACGCUUCAAAAUUUGUGAUAUUUUCAGAAAAUAUAAUUUAUUUCCAUUUUGAUGUUCAUCUUCUUCACUAAAGAAAGUCGAUGCAUUUCUCCCCUCAACACUAACAGUAAUACUUCGAUUAUUCGAUGAAUGGAGAAUUUGCACACACAAAUUUUAUUGGUUCAUCUUAAAGUGCCGAAUGAGCUGAGUUUGCAGUAUUUUUCAUAAUUUUUUUCGGACAUGAGAAAUUGGAGAAAAAUUUAUUUAAAAGUGAGAAAAUGUGCCGCCUUAGGACGUCAUCUGACGGCAUUUCCAUUUAAACACAUGUAUUUUAGCAGAAUCGGUUAUUUUGUCAUACUCCUCAAAUAAUUGCUCAGUUCAUGAAUCAAGGGUAUCUUCGUGUUCAGUUCAUUUAGUAGAUUCCACUAAAACACGAAAUUCAUCAAAUUUCAGACCCUUGCAAAUUGUCCAUUGUGGCAAAACUCGCAUCGGAUAAGUGAUGGCCAAAUAAUGGAGGUACUAAUGUAAAUAGAAAAAUAAAAUUACUGGAGGAGUAAAUUUAGAUAAAAAGUUUUCAAAUGUGCCCAAUGACUAGCUUGAUACAAUACUUUGAAUAACUUUAUUCCUGUUUGAUUAAAAAAAAAACAAAACUUAUCUCUUACCCUAAGGAUACAACUUUGCGCUGGGAUUUGGUGACACCAUCAGCGGCUUCAGCCUCUUCCUCUUGCUGGGAAUCCAUUUGGAUUAUUUCCAAAUCGUAACUGGGUCCAUGUGCAAGCUCUUCACUGAGGUAAUAUCGCCACACUUCAAGGUUUGCCAUAUGCGACUGCGGACGCAAAACCUGCACCGAAAAAUUUUAUGAAUGUUAUCUUUGACAUGGAGUGUGCAAGGGGAAAUGAGUUUGAAUUUAAUAGUCAAAAAGGGAUCCUUGCUUGGAAAGAAACACAAAACACCUGACAGUUUGAAAUUGUGCAAGAGCUCUCACAUCUUAGAAUUAUAUUGAAAAAUGUAUUUCCAAUAUUUCUUGAAAAAUAAUUCAUUUAUAAACGGGGUUAAAAUGACUUUAAAGAUGAAUACAAACCGGGUGAUCAAGAUCUGGCUGAUACAUAAAGUUGAAAAACACCGGUGAUCGUGCAUGCUGCUUUUCAAUGUAAUCAAACAAUGACUGCCCAAGAUUUGGUCCAACAUGAGUGCCAGCCAGUCUGCCGCCAGGAUAGAUUGUUUCGUCAUCAGACCCAGUAUCCACCCCCUUAUGGUGCGAUGUCAACGAGCCCCGCUUGUCUUCCACAGCAGCGAUCCCACACUCCACCCGCUCCAACUCACAAUCCAGCAAAACGUGCGGAAGCGACACGAUACGGAAUGAUAAGCGAGAAAACGGAGGUAGAAAUCGUUGAACUCAAAGGCUAAAGGAAACUGAUUUUGGAUUUGAUGCACGCAAUCUAGGAAUUGAAG